rnacentral:rRNA from 1 species
CAAGAUUAAGCCAUGCAUGUCUAAGCACAAGCCGAUUAAUGGUGAAGCCGCGAAUGGCUCAUUACAACAGCCGUAGUUUCUUGGAUCUUUCUAUCCUACUUGGAUAACUGUGGUAAUUCUAGAGCUAAUACAUGCCACCAAGCCCCGACUAACGGAAGGGCGCAUUUAUUAGAACAAGACCAAUCGGCUCCGGCCGCAGUUUGGUGAAUCUGAAUAACUCGGUAGAUCGCACGGUCUUUGUACCGGCGACGCAUCUUUCAAGUGUCUGCCUUAUCAACUUUCGAUGGUAGUUUAUGUGCCUACCAUGGUUGUAACGGGUAACGGAGAAUCAGGGUUCGACUCCGGAGAGGGAGCCUGAGAAACGGCUACCACAUCCAAGGAAGG